UGGGGAAUAUUGCACAAUGGGCGAAAGCCUGAUGCAGCGACGCCGCGUGAGGGAUGACGGCCUUCGGGUUGUAAACCUCUUUCAGCAGGGACGAAGCGCAAGUGACGGUACCUGCAGAAGAAGCACCGGCUAACUCCGUGC
rnacentral:rRNA from 1 species